rnacentral:rRNA from 1 species
AUUGAACGCUGGCGGCAGGCCUAACACAUGCAAGUCGAGCGGAUGAAGGGAGCUUGCUCCUGGAUUCAGAGGCGGACGGGUGAGUAAUGCCUAGGAAUCUGCCUGGUAGUGGGGGAUAACGUCCGGAAACGGGCGCUAAUACCGCAUACGUCCUGAGGGAGAAAGUGGGGGAUCUUCGGACCUCACGCUACCAGAUGAGCCUAGGUCGGAUUAGCUAGUUGGUGGGGUAAAGGCCUACCAAGGCGACGAUCCGUAACUGGUCUGAGAGGAUGAUCAGUCACACUGGAACUGAGACACGGUCCAGACUCCUACGGGAGGCAGCAGUGGGGAAUAUUGGACAAUGGGCGAAAGCCUGAUCCAGCCAUGCCGCGUGUGUGAAGAAGGUCUUCGGAUUGUAAAGCACUUUAAGUUGGGAGGAAGGGCAGUAAGUUAAUACCUUGCUGUUUUGACGUUACCAACAGAAUAAGCACCGGCUAACUUCGUG